rnacentral:rRNA from 1 species
UCCUACGGGAGGCAGCAGUAGGGAAUCUUCCGCAAUGGACGAAAGUCUGACGGAGCAACGCCGCGUGAGUGAUGAAGGCUUUCGGGUCGUAAAACUCUGUUGUUAGGGAAGAACAAGUGCUAGUUGAAUAAGCUGGCACCUUGACGGUACCUAACCAGAAAGCCACGGCUAACUACGUGCCAGCAGCCGCGGUAAUACGUAGGUGGCAAGCGUUAUCCGGAAUUAUUGGGCGUAAAGCGCGCGCAGGUGGUUUCUUAAGUCUGAUGUGAAAGCCCACGGCUCAACCGUGGAGGGUCAUUGGAAACUGGGAGACUUGAGUGCAGAAGAGGAAAGUGGAAUUCCAUGUGUAGCGGUGAAAUGCGUAGAGAUAUGGAGGAACACCAGUGGCGAAGGCGACUUUCUGGUCUGUAACUGACACUGAGGCGCGAAAGCGUGGGGAGCAAACAGGAUUAGAUACCCUGGUAGUCCACGCCGUAAACGAUGAGUGCUAAGUGUUAGGGGGUUUCCGCCCCUUAGUGCUGCAGCUAACGCAUUAAGCACUCCGCCUGGGGAGUACGGUCGCAAGACUGAAACUCAAAUGAAUUGACGGA